rnacentral:misc_RNA from 1 species
GUUUAUUAUUAUUAUUAUUAUGAGAUAAGCAAACAAUUAGCUGAAAAUGGUGAAUUUAGGAAUAAGAAACAGGAGAAGAUUAGCAUUUCAAUCUGCAAUCAUAUGACAAGGUUUCCCAUGACAUAAGAAUGAUAUUUAUGCAGCAAAAGCAGCGGAACGUGUCUCAAUCAUAGUUGUUAUUGCAUGGAGGUGGGGCUUCUAAUGCCCUGUCUUUUGGGAAGUAGUACAAAUUUCUGCCACAUGCAUUUUAAGCACAAGAAAAAAAAAAUCUUUAACAAUAUAUAUUCUUUCUACCUCUGACCUAUAAUUGUCCAAGUAAGUAAUCAUGCAGAGGGAAAAAAACUAACGAUUUACCCUUAGUUACAUAGAUAAUUUGCGAGAGUAAAAUGAAGUGGAUAAGGGGAAAAGACACUUUGUUUGAGCAUCCUAAGAGCAUCUGCAGUGAACUCUGGCACAAGUAUAUAUACAUAUGUGUGUUAAAUGGUUAAAACAAGAAAAAAAGAAAUAAAAACAAAAAGACAAGAAGAGAAACAACAACCCUUAUGUACUAGCUCGAGGCUGUCCCCGUUCAAAGGAACUGUGUCAGAGAACACCAAAAUACCAUAAUAAUAAUUAAUAAUUUCUUUUCUUUUUCUAUUAAUUGUCCCCAACUCCAAAUGAAAAGUAAAAGCAUUAAGAAGGCACAAUUACCAAUGAAAUCAAGAAUUUACUUUUAAUCAUUUAACACGUUAUUGCUGGGUGUGGAAUUCGUUUUUCACGUACCCGUACCUUCUCUUUUUCCUUCUAUCUCUCGGCUAUAUCCAUCUUUUUUUUUUUAUUUAUCUUCACUGAAAAUUGCCAUUUCCUCCAAAAGAUUGGCCUGUCUGCGCUGUAAUAUUUCUCUCUGAAUCCAAGGAGGAGCUCAUGUCUAUGCCUGGCUGUGGUGCCGCCUCCUGCUGCUGCUGCUGUUGUUGAUGAUUUUCUCUUCGGGAAAACCCUCCACUCAUGCUUCGAACUAUUUGUCCAACCCCAAGAAAAUCCCUGGUUAAUCUAUCAGACCCUCCAAUGCUCAUGUUCAGACCCUGGUGCAACUUUGCUUCGUCCAUGUUUCCACUAUGGGGGUUUUCUUGUCCAUGCCCAGAAGCGAAAAGGGAUGAAUUCCCAGUAGCAAAUGAGUUCAUUAAGUCAUGAAGGUUGUUGUCGUUUUCGUUGAAAAGGCCUCCGAAGUUGGCAGAUACAAGUGGCCUAUCUGAUUUUAUUCCGCUUGAGGAAGAGCUACCAAAGCUUCUUAGCAAUGAUGCACUAUUGGUGCUUGAAGUGGAACCCAUUUGAGCUGCCUUUUGAAGCAGUGCCGUUGCAGACAUGUGAGGGACCAUAUUAUCGUUUUGAACUGAGGAGCUGAAGAGAGAAGGAACACCAGACGUCAUUUGUUGAUGAUGAUGAUGAUGAUGCAUUAUUGUUACUAGUGCAGUUGUUGCAGUGGUCG